AGAGUUCGAUCCUGGCUCAGAACGAACGCUGGCGGUGCGUUUUAAGCAUGCAAGUCGAGCGGCGGGCGGCAGCAAUGCCGCUUAGAGCGGCGGACGGGUGAGUAACACGUGGGUAAUCCGCCUUCCAGUCGGGGAUAGCCUGUGGAAACACAGGAUAAUACCGGAUGCGAUGCCAUUCACACAAGUGGGAGGCAGGAAAGGGGCCAAGGCCCCGCUGGAAGAUGAGCCCGCGGCCCAUUAGCUAGAUGGUGAGGUAAAGGCCCACCAUGGCGAUGAUGGGUAGCCGGCCUGAGAGGGUGAACGGCCACAUUGGAACUGAGACACGGUCCAGACUCCUACGGGAGGCAGCAGCUAAGAAUCUUCCACAAUGGACGAAAGUCUGAUGGAGCGACGCCGCGUGGACGAUGAAGGCCGUGAGGUUGUAAAGUCCUUUUCUGAAGGGCGAAUAACGGGGACAGGGAAUGGUCCUCAGAUGACGUGAAUUCAGGAAUAAGCCCCGGCUAACUACGUGCCAGCAGCCGCGGUAACACGUAGGGGGCGAGCGUUGUUCGGAAUCAUUGGGCGUAAAGGGUGCGCAGGCGGCCUGGCAGGGCUGCUGUAAAAUGGUCAUGCUUAACAUGAUCAUGCGCUGGAAACUGUGUGGCUUGAGUCAACGAGGGGAUGCCGGAAUUCCAGGUGUAGGGGUGAAAUCUGUAGAUAUCUGGAAGAACACCGAUGGCGAAGGCAGGCUCCGAGCGGACGACUGACGCUCAGGUGCGAAGGUGCGGGGAGCAAACAGGAUUAGAUACCCUGGUAGUCCGCACA
rnacentral:rRNA from 1 species